rnacentral:rRNA from 1 species
GACGUAGGGCGCGAGCGUUGUCCGGAUUUAUUGGGCGUAAAGAGCUCGUAGGCGGCUUGUCGCGUCGAAUGUGCAAUUUUAGGGCUCAACCCUGACAUUGCAUUCGAUACGGGCAAACUAGAGUAUUGCAGGGGAGACUGGAAUUCCUGGUGUAGCGGUGAAAUGCGCAGAUAUCAGGAGGAACACCGGUGGCGAAGGCGGGUCUCUGGGCAAUAACUGACGCUGAGGAGCGAAAGCGUGGGGAGCGAACAGG